CUUUCUUCCGACAACAUUGAAUGCAACACAAUGUAACCUGACACCCACUGCUAAGUAGCGGGAAGUGAGAGAGAAGGACAGACUCCCUAAAAUAGCGGCUGAUCCCAGUGCAGCUGCUGCGGUCGGUCAGACCCUCUGGAUGUUUCUGCCUCCGAACCUCCGUCUGACCCCAGCGGACCCGGAGGAGGAGCGACACGGAGGCGGACAUGGCGAUGCACAGCCCGGGACCACCACUGCUCCGCUCCACCGGGGACCAGCUUUCUCCGAUUCUGCGAUAAAAUGAAGUAAAAGUCGCGGAAAACCGAUGCUGCUGCUGCGUUUCGGUGCGCAAAACUCUCCAAACGUUGCCGGUGUAACACCGGCAGAUUUCCAAAAGCAGGACGGCUUUUCCAGGGAAAUGAAGGCUUUGUCAAUUAAAUGUCUCCGUUUCAGCGGCUGUGUUCAGAUUAACAGCCCGCGGUUCCCCCGCCUCCGCUGGGAUCACCGUGUUCACCGACCCGCUGCAAGUUCCUCCAACUUCUCCACCAAGAAAAAACACAUGGAGGGGUUAAUUCAUCAGCUACUGAUUAGAAAUGAGAUUAUUUCACGUUUGAGGGCCACCACGCCGUUGCCUAGCAACCCCCCGAGGCCCCGCCCGUCACCUAGCAACCCAGUUCUACUUCCGCUGGCAGGUAUUUCACUUGCAUCAUGGCAAAAAUGUCUCGUCAUAAAUAAGAUAAUCUGCUAGGGAAGAUACUUUUUCAUCAGCGUUCAAGAAUUAUCGACUCAAAACAGGCUGCUGUAUUUGGCUGAAACUUUACUUGUAAGUUAUUUUUGUCUUAUUUCAAAGUUGUUGGAACUAAACUGAAAAAAAUAAAUAUGAAGGUCAAUUUAUUUCUAACACAUCAAGCAAAGUUCUCAAUUUUUCUAAAUGAACUGGUGCAUUUUAAGGCUAUACGUUUAUGUGUUUCUGCUUUUAUUUUUCUUUAUGUCAGUUUCAGUUUUCCAAAUCCAACAUAUUUAGCAGAAAGUUGCUUGAAGUUUUAAAACAAAUCAGAAGCAUAUUUGUGUAUUUUUGCCAUUUUAUGGACAAUUUUAAACCACAUUAAAUGUGAUUUAUUGCUUAUAUAAUCCUUAAUGAAAGAAAAACAGUUUUAUUCAGUAGUUUUAAUAUCUCCUGAUUUCCAGUAUCUGGGUGCAGUAGCAGAUUUCAAACACUUGUGGGCGCUGUUGGUGCAGAUUUAUUUUUCCCUUAUACCUGUUUGACAGAUAAAGGUAAAAAAUUGAAGAGAGUAAGCAAAAAAAUUAAGAUAAUGAACUAGAAAUUAAUAAACUAUGAAUUUAGGAGAAGAAACUCCCCAGAGUCGUGACAUCACUGCCGGAGUUUAAACUCCCAGUCGCUGCCUGUAAUUGGUUGUGGGCGUUUUGGAGGGUCAGCUGUUGACCCUUGGCUCUGGGUGUGUCUAAUCGCCUGACCACCCAGUCUCUGCUGAUAAACACGUCUGACCCGAGGUGAGCAAAGUGGGGUUUAAAUACGCCGAGCCAAAGAUAAAACGCUCCUUUGACGCCAACAUUCGGCCAUCUUGUCUCAACAAGCCAGUUAUUUCUGGGAGUCCUGGGCAAGUUUGAAAAUGUUUUCUACAAGCUUACAAUGUCACAAACUUUGGUGCUUUCUCAAGAUUUAAGCAACCAGUUAGAUAAGAGGAAAAUAAGGAUUAUAAGAGGAAUUACAUUUUUAAUUUAUAUUUUCGUUUAGCAGGAAGUGUACAGGAUUCUUUACAGGAAAUGAUGAAAAAUCUUCUGUUAACAACAGGUAACAAUCAGAGGUUUUUACAGUGAAUCUCAAACUAUUAUCAUUAAACAAAUGAAUGGAUGAAUGAAUAAAUCACCGAAUAAUGAACCAGACUUGUAAAAAUUAAGAUAAAACUGGAAUAAAUAGUUUGUAUUAUUAAGUUAUUUCAGACUCAUUUUCAGAUCUAUAAAUUGACCCUGACAUCUGAUUGGCUAACCUCCACAGGAAGUCCACUGUAAAGUCAAAAUAAAUCUAUUUUACUUUCAGUGUUUUACUGUUUAUUUUUCAUUUUAUUUUCUCCGCACUUUAAUUGCCGCUCCGUCCUGCCGGUGGACAGACGCGGUGACGAGGGUGCGAACAGCAACCGGUGGCUCCUCCACUCUGACUCGCUCACUUUUACCUGCCAGAUGUUUGGAGGUGAAACAAACUCCACCACACUGAAAAACUGAACUACGUCUGAUUCUAAUCAAUUUAAAGUCUGAGGAAAAAAGAAAACACAGCCUUUUGUUUAGUGGAGGCAUCAGGAGCAUCAGAACCACACCGAACCUUUUCUGUCCUUCUGUCGGCAGCUCUCUGCUAUUUAUUCUGUAUAAAGUACAUUUUUGCACAGGAGGAAUAUUAAAUGCAAAUUUACUCAAUGGA